rnacentral:rRNA from 1 species
UACGAGGGGAGCAAGCGUUGUUCGGAUUUACUGGGCGUAAAGGGCGCGUAGGCGGCUCAACAAGUCACUUGUGAAAUCUCCGGGCUUAACCCGGAAAGGUCAGCCGAUACUGCGGGGCUAGAGUGCAGAAGGGGCAACUGGAAUUCUCGGUGUAGCGGUGAAAUGCGUAGAUAUCGAGAGGAACACCUGCGGCGAAGGCGGGUUGCUGGGCUGACACUGACGCUGAGGCGCGAAAGCUAGGGGAGCGAACGGG